rnacentral:rRNA from 1 species
GACGAACGCUGGCGGCGUGCUUAACACAUGCAAGUCGAACGAAGAGGCGAACGGGUGAGUAAAACGUGGGUACCAUGCCCUCCUCAUUGGGAUAAGCCAUGGAAACGGGGUCUAAUACCGCAUAUAGGGGGAAGGGCUCGCGGCCUGUCGGCUUGUUGGUGGGGUGGUGGCCUACCAAGGCGGUGACGGUUCGCGGGCCUGAGAGGGUGCCCGGCCACUGAGGGACUGAGAUACGUCCCAGGGUCCUACGGGGGGCAGCAGUGUCGGAUAUUGCACAAUGGGCGAAAGCCUAAUGCAGCGACGCCGAGUGGGGGAUGAAGGCUUUCGGGUUGUAAACCUCUUGCGCUAUCGAACGCGUAGGUGGAGUAGAAGCGCCGGCUUACUUCCGGCCAGCAGCCGCGGUUAUAC